GUGUUCACAUAGGCAGCACAUAUAUUGGAACGACACAGACAUUAGCAUAUCCCCUGUGCAAGGAUGACAUGCAAAUUUGUGAAGCGUUCCAUAAUGAG
rnacentral:snRNA from 1 species